GCAAAUGAACAAAUAAUUAUUUAGAGUAUGUUUACCAAGUACUGUUACAAUUGAUCCCUCCUUUCUUGCAGCUGGAGGAAUUCUAUAAGAAAAAUGCAGCCGAGAAAGCCAAGAAGGCAGCAUCUACCUCCCAAACCAAUGUUUCUGAUGUUAGCUUAAAUGAAAAACAGCAAUUAGAAUAUCUUUUUGUUAACUUAAAUGAAAAACUCUGCUCAAUCUACCUCUCAAAGCUGAUUGUUGCUAAUGAGAAUAUCUUGGAGAAGAAGCAUGAUUUUUACUCUACCAAAUAGAAUGAGGAUUUUGUUGCUUUGGAGCAAGUAGUCACAUUUUCUAUUCUUGGGGUGCCACUAUGUCCACAUUUCUAAUAAUUAUUGUGUUUUAUGGUUCAUCCUUUGGGCAAUUUAUACUGCUUGUAAUAACAAUUUCCUUACUAACACAAAUAAACAUUUUUUGAAGUGUACUUUUUGAUGUCUUAGAAAUAUGCCAUUAUAAGUAUCCAUCGUUAUAUUUAACUCAUCUGGUGCAAUUUGACAUUCCAUAAUAUAUGCAAUUUAUUAC
rnacentral:lncRNA from 1 species